rnacentral:rRNA from 1 species
CCUACGUGCGGCAGCAGUGGGGAAUAUUGCACAAUGGGGGGAACCCUGAUGCAGCGACGCCGCGUGAGUGAAGAAGUAUUUCGGUAUGUAAAGCUCUAUCAGCAGGGAAGAAAAUGACGGUACGUGACUAAGAAGCCCCGGCUAACUACGUGCCAGCAGCCGCGGUAAUACGUAGGGGGCAAGCGUUAUACGGAUUUACUGGGUGGCAAGGGAGCGCAGCCGGCUGUGCAAGUCUGGAGUGAAAGGCGGGGGCCCAACCCCCGGACUGCUCUGGAAACUGUAAAGCGGGAGUGCAGGAGAGGUAAGCGGAAUUCCUAGUGUAGCGGUGAAAUGCGUAGAUAUUAGGAGGAACACCAGUGGCGAAGGCGGCUUACUGGACUGCAACUGACGUUGAGGCUCGAAAGCGUGGGGAGCAAACAGGAUUAGAUACCCUUGUAGUC